rnacentral:lncRNA from 1 species
GUGCCCUCCGUGUCUCUGGGACCCUCCGGGCGCCCCGAGCACCAGGCCGGGUCUCCCCGCCAAUGGCGGGGAGAGACUCUCCCCGCGGGCUCAGCAGGAAGGAUUGAAAGAGGACCACAACUCAAAUGAAGCUUUGUUAACAGUGACUUCGAACAGGGAAAAAUACAACAAAUUAGGAAUUCUGAACACUGGUACCAGAAGGCUAAGCCUCUGCCCACCCUAAAGCAAACAAACAAACAAAAUUCUGGAGAAAAGAGCGGAGGAAUAUGAACAGCUGAGAAGUUUUCCUUACUACUGUGUGCCCUGUGAGAGUCCUCAGUCAACCCUAGGAAAAAGUGCAGCAAGAUUAACGACAUUUUCUGUUAAUAACCUCAUAAAUAUUUCUACUACCUUUUCUUGAAAUUCUAGACGUUAUUGGGUCAAGUUAAAAAAAAAAAAAGAUAGGAAAGUAUCACAUGCUAUUUGGUGUCUGGCUAGGAAAAUGGCCAAUGCUAUCUAGAAGUGGGACCACACACCAUGUAUU